rnacentral:rRNA from 1 species
CUUUUGCUGGCGACCGGCGCACGGGUGAGUAACACGUAUCCGACCUGCCCUUUACUCGGGGAUAGCCUUUCGAAAGAAAGAUUAAUACCCGAUAGCAUAAUGAUUCCGCAUGGUUUCAUUAUUAAAGGAUUCCGGUAAAGGAUGGGGAUGCGUUCCAUUAGGUUGUUGGUGAGGUAACGGCUCACCAAGCCUUCGAUGGAUAGGGGUUCUGAGAGGAAGGUCCCCCACAUUGGAACUGAGACACGGUCCAA